UGGUCAAGCAGUGACAGAAAAUUUUGUAAACCAAUGUAUCGUUAACAGAUUAAUGGAAAUUCAGAACUACAGAAUGUCAGGAUUGUAAACUUUCAAACAUUUUGCGGAGAUUUCCAAUAUUAGCUAUCGCUUCAAGGCCCGAGUUUCGAGCCGGCAAAAUUGAUAGUACGUUGGAAAAAUGCAUAGCGGCAUUUCUUCCGAUUUUACGUUCUGAAAUGAAAUUUUGUUGGGGUAGACUUUGCCUUUCAUCCUUUCAGGGUCGAUAAAAAACGAAUUCGAUGUCAUUGACGAACCCUACCCACUAAAAUUUGCUGGCCUUGUGAACCAAUCACAUUGCUUUGUCAUGUAUUACAUAAUCAGAAUGGUGACGAAGGGUGAGACCUGCCCCGGGUGAAACUUCUAUGGGAGUGUUACUUUUGAGUCUACUGUGUAAGCCAGUAUAAAUCUGAAAGCCCGGGUGAGUGGAGGUUCAAACUUGUAAUGGGAAAUGUAAUGUUAUAUGUUGGAGUCGGCAGCUACCAAUUGUAACGGGUGUUGAUGUUGCAGAUGUGCAAGAUGAAAGAAGAACAGUGAUCGAAGUUGUAAACAAACAUUUACUUACCCUUACAUAUUGUUAUAGCCAAACCACAACGGGUUGGUAUGUAUAAUUCGUAAAGCAUGCCAGAGGAGUAUUAUCAAAUCUUAUGUGAAAGAUAUAUUUGCUGUUAUAUUAGACAGCAAAUAGACCUUUCAUUAGUUUCAACUAUUUUUGUGAAGAGAAAACUCAGUGGUUCACACGCUGGAUGUUAAAUUGCAGUUUUCCCUUAUGAAUCAUUGGAUUACAUAACAUUUUACGCAAAGUUCCUUCUUUGAAAAACGUUCUGAAAGGUGAAGAAAAUCAUUUCAAGUUGUACGUAUGUGAAAGGUGAAGAAAAUCAUUUCAAGUUGUACGUAUGUCUUUUGAAGGUUAUAACUAAAUUCACAAUGAUUAAAUUAUCUAAUGAAGGUGAUACUUUCGAUUCUAGUAAA